GAAGAACGCUGGCGGCGUGCCUAAUACAUGCAAGUAGGACGCAGUUGUGAACGGGUGAGUAACGCGUAGGUAACUACCUAUUAGAGGGGGAUAACUAUUGGAAACGAUAGCUAAUACCGCAUACUAGUAGAUGGACCUGCGUUGUAUUAGCUAGUAGGUAGGGUAAUGGGCUAACUAGGCAACGAUACAUUGCCGACCUGGGAGGGUGAUCAGCCACACUGGGACUGAGGCACGGCCCCGACUCCUUCGGGAUGCAGCAGGAGGGAAUCUUCGGCAAUGGGGUGAACCCUGAACGAGCAACGCCGCGGGAGUGAAGAAGGUUUUCGGAUCGUAAAGCUCUGUUGUUAAGGGAGCGGUACUUAACCAGAAAGGGACGGCUAACUACGUGCCAGCAGCCGCGGUAAUUC
rnacentral:rRNA from 1 species